rnacentral:rRNA from 1 species
UGGGGAAUAUUAGGCAAUGGGGGAAACCCUGACCUAGCAACGCCGCGUGAAGGAAGAAGGCUUUCGGGUUGUAAACUUCUUUUACCAGGGACGAAGAACGUGACGGUACCUGGAGAAAAAGCUCCGGCUAACUACGUGCCAGCAGCCGCGGUAAUACGUAGGGAGCAAGCGUUGUCCGGAUUUACUGGGUGUAAAGGGCGUGUAGGCGGAGCAGCAAGUCAGAAGUGAAAUCUCCGGGCUUAACCCGGAAACUGCUUUUGAAACUGUUGCCCUUGAGUAUCGGAGAGGCAGGCGGAAUUCCUAGUGUAGCGGUGAAAUGCGUAGAUAUUAGGAAGAACACCAGUGGCGAAGGCGGCCUGCUGGACGACAACUGACGCUGAGGCGCGAAAGCGUGGGGAGCAAACAGG